CACAGCCAGCCCUCCUGCUACCAGCGAGCCGCGCAACGCGUCGUGCAGGCACGGUUCCUCUGUCACCUGAUUUGACUUGCAAAGUUAUAUUCUGAAUAGAUCGAACUGAGAACAGAUCUGAUUAGAAGAGGAUGCAGAACUGGUGGACCACAGAGCUCUUGCCAAUUCAUAGAUCAGCUUCAAGAUCUGUUCACGGUGGAAGAUAUUCAAGACGGCUUUUGACAUCAUGAUCAAACAUCAGUGUUUCAUUAGACAACUCUUCACUAUGAUGGAAAAAAAAAAACCAACAAUGGUGAGCACCAAGACAACAAAUUAUAUAAGUAACUAAUUUUAUUUAUUUAACUUCUUCAGUCUUCGCAUGCUUUUUCCAAACAUCAACCAUGAAUGAACUACAGGCUAAUUCUGUAAAUACGCCGGGCCAAAGUUAUCUCUAAGAUAAAUUAAAUCCACCUGAGUUUUAAUGCAAAAUAAUGAAAAACUCAUGUGCAUAUCUAUCUAUCCCAA